rnacentral:tRNA from 1 species
CCUCUCAUGGCGUAGUGGUUAACGCGCCCCAACUAGAGAUCGGGGGGUCGUGAGUUCGAUUCUCACUGAGAAGA